CCACAUCACAUUGGAACAUCAGUUCCCAUAUGAUCACCUAAGUUAAGCAAUGUUGAGCCUGGUCACUACUUAGAUAGGUGACCGCUUGGGAAUACCAGGUGUUGUAAG